ACGUAAGGGGCAAGCGUUAUCCGGAUUUAUUGGGCAUAAAGAGCAUGUAGGUGGUAUUUUAAGUCAGAUGUUAAAGGCUGGGGCUCAACCCCAGUUCGCCUCUGAAACUGAAAUACUCGAGGACAGUAGAGGAAAGCGGAACUCACGGUGUAGCGGUGAAAUGCGUAGAUAUCGUGAGGAACACCAGUUGCGAAGGCGGCUUUCUGGCCUGAUCCUGACACUGAGAUGCGAAAGCGUGGGGAGCGAACGGG
rnacentral:rRNA from 1 species